GGGUUGUGAGGUUAAGCGACUAAGCGUACACGGUGGAUGCCCUGGCAGUCAGAGGCGAUGAAGGACGUGCUAAUCUGCGAAAAGCGUCGGUAAGGUGAUAUGAACCGUUACAGCCGGCGAUGUCCGAAUGGGGAAACCCAGUGUGAUUCGUCACACUAUCGUUAACUGAAUACAUAGGUUAACGAGGCGAACCGGGGGAACUGAAACAUCUAAGUACCCCGAGGAAAAGAAAUCAACCGAGAUUCCCCCAGUAGCGGCGAGCGAACGGGGAGCAGCCCAGAGUCUGAAUCAGCUUGUGUGUUAGUGGAACGGUCUGGAAAGUCCGACGGUACAGGGUGAUAGUCCCGUACACCAAAAUGCACAGGUUGUGAACUCGAAGAGUAGGGCGGGACACGUGGUAUCCUGUCUGAAUAUGGGGGGACCAUCCUCCAAGGCUAAAUACUCCUGACUGACCGAUAGUGAACCAGUACCGUGAGGGAAAGGCGAAAAGAACCCCGGCGAGGGGAGUGAAAAAGAACCUGAAACCGUGUACGUACAAGCAGUGGGAGCACCUUCGGGUGUGACUGCGUACCUUUUGUAUAAUGGGUCAGCGACUUAUAUUCUGUAGCAAGGUUAACCGUAUAGGGGAGCCGCAGGGAAACCGAGUCUUAACUGGGCGUUAAGUUGCAGGGUAUAGACCCGAAACCCGGUGAUCUAGCCAUGGGCAGGUUGAAGGUUGGGUAACACUAACUGGAGGACCGAACCGACUAAUGUUGAAAAAUUAGCGGAUGACUUGUGGCUGGGGGUGAAAGGCCAAUCAAACCGGGAGAUAGCUGGUUCUCCCCGAAAGCUAUUUAGGUAGCGCCUCGUGAAUUCAUCUUCGGGGGUAGAGCACUGUUUCGGCUAGGGGGUCAUCCCGACUUACCAACCCGAUGCAAACUACGAAUACCGAAGAAUGUUAUCACGGGAGACACACGGCGGGUGCUAACGUCCGUCGUGAAGAGGGAAACAACCCAGACCGCCAGCUAAGGUCCCAAAGUCACAGUUAAGUGGGAAACGAUGUGGGAAGGCACAGACAGCCAGGAUGUUGGCUUAGAAGCAGCCAUCAUUUAAAGAAAGCGUAAUAGCUCACUGGUCGAGUCGGCCUGCGCGGAAGAUGUAACGGGGCUAAACUGUGCACCGAAGCUGCGGCAGCGACACUAUGUGUUGUUGGGUAGGGGAGCGUUCUGUAAGCCUGCGAAGGUGGCCUGUGAGGGUUGCUGGAGGUAUCAGAAGUGCGAAUGCUGACAUAAGUAACGAUAAUGCGGGUGAAAAGCCCGCACGCCGGAAGACCAAGGGUUCCUGUCCAACGUUAAUCGGGGCAGGGUGAGUCGACCCCUAAGGCGAGGCCGAAAGGCGUAGUCGAUGGGAAACAGGUUAAUAUUCCUGUACUUGGUGUUACUGCGAAGGGGGGACGGAGAAGGCUAUGUUAGCCGGGCGACGGUUGUCCCGGUUUAAGCAUGUAGGCGGAGGUUCCAGGUAAAUCCGGUACCUUUUAACGCUGAGGUGUGAUGACGAGGCACUACGGUGCUGAAGUAACAAAUGCCCUGCUUCCAGGAAAAGCCUCUAAGCAUCAGGUAACAUUGAAUCGUACCCCAAACCGACACAGGUGGUCAGGUAGAGAAUACCAAGGCGCUUGAGAGAACUCGGGUGAAGGAACUAGGCAAAAUGGUGCCGUAACUUCGGGAGAAGGCACGCUGAUAUGUAGGUGAAGCCCCUGCGGGUGGAGCUGAAAUCAGUCGAAGAUACCAGCUGGCUGCAACUGUUUAUUAAAAACACAGCACUGUGCAAACACGAAAGUGGACGUAUACGGUGUGACGCCUGCCCGGUGCCGGAAGGUUAAUUGAUGGGGUUAUCCGUAAGGAGAAGCUCUUGAUCGAAGCCCCGGUAAACGGCGGCCGUAACUAUAACGGUCCUAAGGUAGCGAAAUUCCUUGUCGGGUAAGUUCCGACCUGCACGAAUGGCGUAAUGAUGGCCAGGCUGUCUCCACCCGAGACUCAGUGAAAUUGAACUCGCUGUGAAGAUGCAGUGUACCCGCGGCAAGACGGAAAGACCCCGUGAACCUUUACUAUAGCUUGACACUGAACAUUGAGCCUUGAUGUGUAGGAUAGGUGGGAGGCUUUGAAGCGUGGACGCCAGUCUGCGUGGAGCCAACCUUGAAAUACCACCCUUUAAUGUUUGAUGUUCUAACGUUGGCCCCUUAUCGGGGUUGCGGACAGUGUCUGGUGGGUAGUUUGACUGGGGCGGUCUCCUCCCAAAGAGUAACGGAGGAGCACGAAGGUUAGCUAAUCCUGGUCGGACAUCAGGAGGUUAGUGCAAUGGCAUAAGCUAGCUUGACUGCGAGCGUGACGGCGCGAGCAGGUGCGAAAGCAGGUCAUAGUGAUCCGGUGGUUCUGAAUGGAAGGGCCAUCGCUCAACGGAUAAAAGGUACUCCGGGGAUAACAGGCUGAUACCGCCCAAGAGUUCAUAUCGACGGCGGUGUUUGGCACCUCGAUGUCGGCUCAUCACAUCCUGGGGCUGAAGUAGGUCCCAAGGGUAUGGCUGUUCGCCAUUUAAAGUGGUACGCGAGCUGGGUUUAGAACGUCGUGAGACAGUUCGGUCCCUAUCUGCCGUGGGCGCUGGAGAAUUGAGGGGGGCUGCUCCUAGUACGAGAGGACCGGAGUGGACGCAUCACUGGUGUUCGGGUUGUCAUGCCAAUGGCAUUGCCCGGUAGCUAAAUGCGGAAGAGAUAAGUGCUGAAAGCAUCUAAGCACGAAACUUGCCCCGAGAUGAGUUCUCCCUGAGACUUUAAGUCUCCUGAAGGAACGUUAAAGACGAUGACGUUGAUAGGUCGGGUGUGUAAGCGUAGCGAUACGUUGAGCUAACCGAUACUAAUGAACCGUGAGGCUUAACCUUACAACGCCGAAG
rnacentral:rRNA from 1 species